UACGUAGGGUCCGAGCGUUGUCCGGAAUCAUUGGGCGUAAAGAGCUCGUAGGCGGCCUGUUGCGUCCGCUGUGAAAUCCCGGGGCUUAACCCCGGGCGGGCAGUGGAUACGGGCUGGCUGGAGGCAGGCAGGGGAGAACGGAAUUCCCGGUGUAGCGGUGAAAUGCGCAGAUAUCGGGAGGAACACCGGUGGCGAAGGCGGUUCUCUGGAACGCAACUGACGCUGAGACGCGAAAGCGUGGGGAGCAAACAGG
rnacentral:rRNA from 1 species